rnacentral:rRNA from 1 species
GACAGAGGGUGCUAGCGUUGUUCGGAAUUACUGGGCGUAAAGAGCGCGCAGGCGGUCGUCCAAGUCGCGUGUGAAAGCCCCCGGCUCAACUGGGGAGGGUCACGCGAUACUGAUCGACUCGAAGGCAGGAGAGGGUAGUGGAAUUCCCGGUGUAGUGGUGAAAUGCGUAGAUAUCGGGAGGAACACCAGUGGCGAAGGCGACUACCUGGCCUGUUCUUGACGCUGAGGCGCGAAAGCUAGGGGAGCAAACGGGG